ensembl:lncRNA
CACAUGUGGGAAGAGCCCUCUUCGGGGGCUGAGCGUGUUCCCCUCCCCAGUUUCCAACACGGCCGUCAGCCUGCGGUUUUGACCAUCGCUUCCUCCUGAGUUAAGCAAGGGAAGCAUCAACCUCAUAGCCCAGGGAAGUUCCUCCAGCUCCGCCCCUCGCGUCCGUUCUCCAGGCAUCGAGAAGAAAGACAGCAGAGAAAGAAUAUCCCCUGCAAGUUACACACAUCGCUUUCGCUCACCCACCGACCGGCCAAGACUAGAUCACAGGGCCACACCUGGCUGAAGGGAGUCUGGGCAAUUGCAAUUACUGCAGGGGCACCCCGGCCUCUUCAAAGCAUCCCGGCAGACGUGUUUUGGGCUGCAGAGCUCCAGGAAACACAAGAAGACCUUCCUGCGAUCGCUAAACCAAGCUGGUCUCAAUCCUCCUGCCUCAGCCUCCUGAGUGCUGGGAUUACAAGAGUGCACCACCGUGCCUGGUUUAUCUUCCAGGACUCUUGAAGUAAGAAAUGGUUCGGAAAGUUGCAGGGCCUUGGGGCCCUCUUGGCCUGGCU